rnacentral:rRNA from 1 species
UACAGAGGGUGCGAGCGUUAAUCGGAAUUACUGGGCGUAAAGCGUGCGUAGACGGUUAUUUAAGUCGGGUGUGAAAGCCCCGGGCUCAACCUGGGAAUUGCAUUCGAGACUGAAUAGCUAGGGUACGGUAGAGGGAAGCGGAAUUUCCGGUGUAGCGGUGAAAUGCGUAGAUAUCAGGAGGAACACCGGUGGCGAAGGCGGCUCUCUGGACCACAACUGACGCUGAGGCGCGAAAGCUAGGGGAGCAAACAGG